GGAGAGCCUUUACUUUUCCAUUGCCAUGGGCUUUGCACCCUCCCAAAACCACAGGAAUGAUGUCAUAAAUGGCACAAGAGUCAGUUCCUGUGUUCUAAGGGAGAAGGAUCCAGCUCACAGAACCUUCCCAUACUGAGAUGAGAUCUCCUCCUGAUUCAGAGUGGUUGGUACUGGGCUGAGUAACUUUCCAGAGCGCCAUAAAGCACAGACCUGCUGUGAUCUCAUUCAGCUACUCAACAACCAGUUGUCACCAAAUUGGAUUUAUUCCUCAUUGUUUCUUAUCCUUUGCUGAAAAUUACUUUUGCUUUAAUUUUCUACACAGUUUUCUUAAGUAAGAACAUCAGUAUCCCUCAAAGAAGUUCACAGUGCCAGUUUCUAGCAAGUGUAUACCUGAAUUUCUGCUCACAAGAUAAACUAUCAAAAAUACCCACAGUCACAGAACCUUUCCAGCUGAAGACACUACUGGGUAAUCCCCUCUCUAGGGUUGUGGCUGUAAGCUUCAUUCAACUUUAGGUGGUGAUUGUCCAGAGAUUUUAAUCUUUUUAAGGGUCUGUGCUAUGAAAUCACUGCAAAGUGCUUAUGAGUCACAGCUGAAAAGGGAAUUUGAGCUGGAGCAGUAGAAGCUGGAAAACCUGCAGGCAGAAAGCAACAGCACAAACUCCUAGACUGACUGUGAUGUGUUAGAAGGAAAGAGACUGUCCUGGUCAUCAUUCCUGGAGCAGAGCCUUUGUUUUAAACAGGAGAAGUUUCACUGUGAGAUCUCCUCCAGGCUCUCCUCAUCUCCAGCCACACCUGCCUCUGGAGGAUUCAUUCCCUGGAUAACACCCUGUCCCCAGCCCUGGGCUGAGGGGUGCUGCUGAUGGUAGAGACUGAAAAGAAAGAGCAUUUCUAGUAGAGCCCACCAAGGAGAAUCUGUGAAAAAUCAGUAGCAGAAAGAACCACAAGGAAGGAAUCUCGUGUCAGUUCAUCAUGAGUACCUCUAUAGACAGAAAAAUACACUCUCAAAAGCUGGAAGUAAAUCACUGGAAAAUCAGCCUUCCUUUGAGAUGAACCAUCUAGAAACAGGGAGAAAACACUGAACACUUUGUCAAAUGUGGAGAACAUAUUUCAGCACUGGAAGGAAUCUUAUGCUUGUUGUGGAAGUAGAGACCAAGAAUUCAAUGCAUGAAAGGGCAACAUGAGGACACAGCACCAUCAGAGGGGUUUGAAGAUAAAUAGCAGCAAUACUACAGCUGUAUGAAACUGUCAUAAGCAAUAUUCCCAU